rnacentral:rRNA from 1 species
AACGAACGCUGGCGGCAUGCCUAACACAUGCAAGUCGAACGAGACCUUCGGGUCUAGUGGCGCACGGGUGAGUAACGCGUGGGAACCUGCCCUUAGGUUCGGAAUAACUCCCCGAAAGGGGUGCUAAUACCGGAUAAUGUCUUCGGACCAAAGAUUUAUCGCCUUUGGAUGGGCCCGCGUUGGAUUAGCUAGUUGGUAGGGUAAAAGCCUACCAAGGCGACGAUCCAUAGCUGGUCUGAGAGGAUGAUCAGCCACACUGGGACUGAGACACGGCCCAGACUCCUACGGGAGGCAGCAGUGGGGAAUAGUGGACAAUGGGCGAAAGCCUGAUCCAGCAAGGCCGGGUGAGUGAUGAAGGCCUUAGGGUUGUAAAGCUCUUUUACCCGGGAUGAUAAUGACAGUACCGGGAGAAUAAGCUCCGGCUAACUCCGUG